AACGCGAAGAACCUUACCCAGGCUUGACAUGCAGAGGAAUUACCCAGAGAUGGAUAAGCCCUUCGGGGCCUCUGCACAGGUGCUGCAUGGCUGUCGUCAGCUCGUGCCGUGAGGUGUUGGGUUAAGUCCCGCAACGAGCGCAACCCUUAUCGUUAGUUGCCAACACGUAAUGGUGGGAACUCUAGCGAGACUGCCUGGGUUAACCAGGAGGAAGGUGAGGAUGACGUCAAGUCCGCAUGGCCCUUAUGUCUGGGGCUACACACGUGCUACAAUGGUCGGUACAGAAGGCAGCGAAACCGCGAGGUGAAGCAAAUCCCGAAAGCCGGCCCCAGUUCAGAUUGUAGUCUGCAACUCGACUACAUGAAGACGGAAUUGCUAGUAAUGGCGAGUCAGCAACAUCGCCGUGAAUACGUUCCCGGGCCUUGUAACACCGACUGUAC
rnacentral:rRNA from 1 species